AUUGAACGCUGGCUGCAGGCCUAACACAUGCAAGUCGAACGAGUGGCGGACUGGUGAGUAAUGUCUGGGCAACUGCCCGAUGGCGGGGGCUAACUACUGGACACGGUAGCUAAUACCGCCUACCAUCUGAUUUGCCCAGAUGGGAUUCGCUUGUGGGGGAGGUAACGGCUCACCUAGGCGACGAUCCCUCGCUGGUCUGAGAGGAUGACCAGCCACACUGGAACUGAGACACGGUCCAGAAUCCGACGGGAGGCAGCAGUGGGGAAUAUUGAACAAUGGGCGCAAGCCUGAUGCAGCCAUGCCGCGUGGAUGAAGAAGGCCUUCGGGUUGUAAAGUACUUUCAGCGGGGAGGCGUUACCCGCAGAAGAAGCAUCGGCUAACUCCGUGCCAGCAGCCGCGGUAAUAC
rnacentral:rRNA from 1 species